CAUCUCCUAAGGCUAAAUACUCUCUAGUGACCGAUAGUGAACCAGUACCGUGAGGGAAAGGUGAAAAGCACCCCGGAAGGGGAGUGAAAUAGAACCUGAAACCGUGUGCUUACAAGUAGUCAGAGCCCGUUAAUGGGUGAUGGCGUGCCUUUUGUAGAAUGAACCGGCGAGUUACGAUUUGAUGCAAGGUUAAGCAGUAAAUGUGGAGCCGUAGCGAAAGCGAGUCUGAAUAGGGCGUUUAGUAUUUGGUCGUAGACCCGAAACCAGGUGAUCUACCCUUGGUCAGGUUGAAGUUCAGGUAACACUGAAUGGAGGACCGAACCGACUUACGUUGAAAAGUGAGCGGAUGAACUGAGGGUAGCGGAGAAAUUCCAAUCGAACCUGGAGAUAGCUGGUUCUCUCCGAAAUAGCUUUAGGGCUAGCCUCAAGUGAUGAUUAUUGGAGGUAGAGCACUGUUUGGACGAGGGGCCCCUCUCGGGUUACCGAAUUCAGACAAACUCCGAAUGCCAAUUAAUUUAACUUGGGAGUCAGAACAUGGGUGAUAAGGUCCGUGUUCGAAAGGGAAACAGCCCAGACCACCAGCUAAGGUCCCAAAAUAUAUGUUAAGUGGAAAAGGAUGUGGCGUUGCCCAGACAACUAGGAUGUUGGCUUAGAAGCAGCCAUCAUUUAAAGAGUGCGUAAUAGCUCACUAGUCGAGUGACACUGCGCCGAAAAUGUACCGGGGCUAAACAUAUUACCGAAGCUGUGGAUUGUCCUUUGGACAAUGGUAGGAGAGCGUUCUAAGGGCGUUGAAGCAUGAUCGUAAGGACAUGUGGAGCGCUUAGAAGUGAGAAUGCCGGUGUGAGUAGCGAAAGACGGGUGAGAAUCCCGUCCACCGAUUGACUAAGGUUUCCAGAGGAAGGCUCGUCCGCUCUGGGUUAGUCGGGUCCUAAGCUGAGGCCGACAGGCGUAGGCGAUGGAUAACAGGUUGAUAUUCCUGUACCACCUAUAAUCGUUUUAAUCGAUGGGGGGACGCAGUAGGAUAGGCGAAGCGUGCGAUUGGAUUGCACGUCUAAGCAGUAAGGCUGAGUAUUAGGCAAAUCCGGUACUCGUUAAGGCUGAGCUGUGAUGGGGAGAAGACAUUGUGUCUUCGAGUCGUUGAUUUCACACUGCCGAGAAAAGCCUCUAGAUAGAAAAUAGGUGCCCGUACCGCAAACCGACACAGGUAGUCAAGAUGAGAAUUCUAAGGUGAGCGAGCGAACUCUCGUUAAGGAACUCGGCAAAAUGACCCCGUAACUUCGGGAGAAGGGGUGCUCUUUAGGGUUAACGCCCAGAAGAGCCGCAGUGAAUAGGCCCAAGCGACUGUUUAUCAAAAACACAGGUCUCUGCUAAACCGUAAGGUGAUGUAUAGGGGCUGACGCCUGCCCGGUGCUGGAAGGUUAAGAGGAGUGGUUAGCUUCUGCGAAGCUACGAAUCGAAGCCCCAGUAAACGGCGGCCGUAACUAUAACGGUCCUAAGGUAGCGAAAUUCCUUGUCGGGUAAGUUCCGACCCGCACGAAAGGCGUAACGAUUUGGGCACUGUCUCAACGAGAGACUCGGUGAAAUCAUAGUACCUGUGAAGAUGCAGGUUACCCGCGACAGGACGGAAAGACCCCGUGGAGCUUUACUGUAGCCUGAUAUUGAAAUUCGGCACAGCUUGUACAGGAUAGGUAGGAGCCUUUGAAACGUGAGCGCUAGCUUACGUGGAGGCGCUGGUGGGAUACUACCCUAGCUGUGUUGGCUUUCUAACCCGCACCACUUAUCGUGGUGGGAGACAGUGUCAGGCGGGCAGUUUGACUGGGGCGGUCGCCUCCUAAAAGGUAACGGAGGCGCUCAAAGGUUCCCUCAGAAUGGUUGGAAAUCAUUCAUAGAGUGUAAAGGCAUAAGGGAGCUUGACUGCGAGACCUACAAGUCGAGCAGGGUCGAAAGACGGACUUAGUGAUCCGGUGGUUCCGCAUGGAAGGGCCAUCGCUCAACGGAUAAAAGCUACCCCGGGGAUAACAGGCUUAUCUCCCCCAAGAGUUCACAUCGACGGGGAGGUUUGGCACCUCGAUGUCGGCUCAUCGCAUCCUGGGGCUGUAGUCGGUCCCAAGGGUUGGGCUGUUCGCCCAUUAAAGCGGUACGCGAGCUGGGUUCAGAACGUCGUGAGACAGUUCGGUCCCUAUCCGUCGUGGGCGUAGGAAAUUUGAGAGGAGCUGUCCUUAGUACGAGAGGACCGGGAUGGACAUACCUCUGGUGUACCAGUUGUCGUGCCAACGGCAUAGCUGGGUAGCUAUGUGUGGACGGGAUAAGUGCUGAAAGCAUCUAAGCAUGAAGCCCCCCUCAAGAUGAGAUUUCCCAACUUCGGUUAUAAGAUCCCUCAAAGAUGAUGAGGUUAAUAGGUUCGAGGUGGAAGCAUGGUGACAUGUGGAGCUGACGAAUACUAAUCGAUCGAAGACUUAAUCAA
rnacentral:rRNA from 1 species